rnacentral:rRNA from 1 species
UGGACGCAUCACUGGUGUUCGGGUUGUCAUGCCAAUGGCACUGCCCGGUAGCUAAAUGCGGAAGAGAUAAGUGCUGAAAGCAUCUAAGCACGAAACUUGCCCCGAGAUGAGUUCUCCCUGAGACUUUAAGUCUCCUGAAGGAACGUUAAAGACGAUGACGUUGAUAGGCCGGGUGUGUAAGCGCAGCGAUGCGUUGAGCUAACCGGUACUAAUGAACCGUGAGGCUUAACCUUACAACGCCGAAG